GAAAACCGGGUAGACCUGGAGCU
rnacentral:miRNA from 1 species